AAAAUUUCCCAGGUCUGUUAAAGCACUAUAAAAGCAGAAAAAGGGGAGCCAGGGAAGGGCUGACAGAUUGUGAAAUUUAAGGGAACACCAGAAAAACUGGUAAUCAAAUAAUAUUUGAAUGUAAUAUUUUAAAACAUAAAGAUUAAUGCAAGAAAUCCAGGAGGAACAAAAUAAGAGUCAUGUGUAGCUUAACAACAGGGAAAGGUCUGAGGAAUGCGUUAUUAGGCGAUUUUGUUGCUGCGUGCACACCAUAGAAUGUACUUUCACAACGUAGAUGGUAAGGCCUGCUACACACCUAGGCUGUGUGGUGUGGCCUGUUGCUUCCAGGCUGCAAACCUGAACAGCAUUGGACUGUACUGAAUAGCAGACCAUUGUAAUACAUGGGGAAAGUACAAACGCAGUCCCCCACUACCACAAAUUAUGCAGUCGAGUUUCCCACAUUUGGAGAAAUCGCAGGGGUCAGCACAUCCGGAGUGCAAUGGAUGACCCUUACCCUGGGAAAACCACCUUCGUGAUCAUGGCAUCUCCCCUGUCAGAGAGAAACCAAUCAGCUUCAUUUGCAACUUCUUCUAUGACUCCAGAGGAGUCACUUUGCAUCUUGUGACAAAUGAAAAUAUUACCUGGAAAAAAAAAAUCACAGAAUAGACGAGUUGCUGCACAGGGGGAAAGCAAAGUUCCCAGGAGUAAGAUAUGCAAGAAGGAAGCCCACCUUGCAUCUCGGGUUGAGUUCCCUAGACUAUGUGCUUGAGGGGAAUUCUCCCCUUGCAGACACACUGCUGAGUGAUAAGGAAGCACCUGGACUCCACUCUGACCAGACCUUGGUUCUGAGGCCUAUGAAAUGAGAAGAACAGAAGCAAGAAAAUCUGUCUAUUCAAAUCUGCAAGAGGUGGAAACUUUUAUUCACCUUCCUGGAUAGACUGUUCCUUCGUAAAAGUAAGGCUAAGGCCGUGGAAAAUGAGCUAUGCGAGAGUCUGUAGCUCCAGGGAAGAACGCGCUGGCCUAAUUGUCCCCUCAGUCAGGAGAGCGAAUUGUUAGAAAAACAAACAACAAAAAAAAGAACACUUAAACAGGCCUAAGUAAAGGUCCAGUACAUUAUUUAUUUAAGACUGAAUUAGGACUGAGUCAUUCCAACUCUGAAGAAAUAGUGUUGCUGAAUUCUCAUAUAUUUGAUGGGACUGCCCCAUUGAAAACCAUUGUGAAUUCUGGUUUCCCAAGCAAGAAAUGACACUCACUGUCAAUCUUUCUAGGAAUCUGGCAGAAUCCAGGACCAGGAUCACCCUUAUUUAUAAAGCGACCUUAGACUAACCAUGGCUCUCUGGGCCUCGAGACAAUUGGCCAUGGACUUUGAAGACCAGAAAUAAAGUUGAGAGAACUCCAGGCUGAUGGAUGUUGGCCGUUAUCACCAGAAUGUGCCUCAUAGAAGCAACAAACCAGAGAAGAAGGUUCUUAGACAAGGGCCUGUGGGCCCUGUCAAGAUCUGAAGGAGUCAUCUGUAACUCAUGGCUGAGUGAGAGGACUAGGCAGUGUUUUUAAGGUCCUGCCAGCUUUAAAAUUGUAUGCCUUCUUGUUUUGUUCAAUCUCUCAUCACAACUGAAAGUGUUGCCUCAACUACACAAAAGAAAGUUUGCAGUAACAUAGAGAAGACAUUAUUUAAUGACCAGCAUAUGUUCUCCAGCUCCCUGAACAAAUCGGUCAGCAGCAGCGACACUGAGCAGGUGCAGACUGGGGCCGCUGCAGUGGAUGUGGAUCCAUUGAAACCAGGGUUCUCUAGUGCUCCUGACUCCUCACAGCUCUGUUCCUAUGACAAGGAUGGUCAGCAGACCCAGGAACCUUAAGGGGGACCUUUUCCUGGUCUCCUCCCCGCCUCCUAAGAGGGAGUAUACAGAAGCAGCCACCUGCAGCUGUGAUGAAUCCUAUAAUAAUUACAUAAAUCAUUAACAAUACUU